GCGAAACUGCGAAUGGCUCAUUAAAUCAUAUGUGAUUUCUUAGAUCGUACGGUCCCCUCGGGGACUGGUGGAUAACUGUGGUAAUUCUAGAGCUAAUACAUGCAAUCAAGCUCAGACCUUCGGGGACGAGCGCUCAUAUUAGACCAAGGCCAACCUGUGGGGCAACCUGCAGUAACCUGUGGUGACUCUGGAUAUCCAUCAGUUGAUCGCACGACCUUUGCGUCGGCGACGUAUCUUUCAAGCGUAUGCCCUAUCACCUGUCGACGUUAGGUUAGUCGCCUAUCGUGGGUGUCACGGGUAGCGGGGAAUCUGGGUUCGAUUCCGGAGAGGGCGCAUGAGAAAUGGCGACCACAUCCAAGGAAGGCAGCAGGCGCGCAAAUUACCCAAUGCCGACACGGCGAGGUAGUGACGAAAAAUAACAAUACGGGACUCUUUUGAGGCCCCGUAAUUGGAAUGAGCACAAUCUAAAUCCUUUAGCGAGGAUCUAUUGGAGGGCAAGUCUGGUGCCAGCAGCCGCGGUAAUUCCAGCUCCAAUAGCGUAUAUUAAAGUUGCUGCAGUUAAAAAGCUCGUAGUUGGAUCUCGGGUAUCGUCUAGGUGGUCCUGUUCACGCAGGUACUGCCUUGACGACCUAACCAAUGGUUGUAAGACUCCGAGUGCCCUUCAUUGGGUGCUCGUGGGUGGCCAUUGCGUUUACUGUGAAAAAAUUAGAGUGUUCAAAGCAGGCUAUUUUGGCUCGAAUAGUCGUGCAUGGAAUAAUGGAAAAUGACACUGGCGCAUUUCCGUUGGUCUCUGUGACUGGUGUAAUGAUUAAGAGGGACUGCCGGGGGCAUUGGUAUGGCGGGGUU
rnacentral:rRNA from 1 species